rnacentral:rRNA from 1 species
GACGAACCGUGCGAACGUUAUUCGGAAUCACUGGGCUUAAAGCGCGCGUAGGCGGCCCGGUAAGUCCGCUGUGAAAGUCGGGGGCUCAACCCUCGGAUGCCGGUGGAUACUGUCGGGCUUGAGUACGGAAGAGGCGAGUGGAAUUCCUGGUGUAGCGGUGAAAUGCGCAGAUAUCAGGAGGAACACCAAUGGCGAAGGCAGCUCGCUGGGACGUGACUGACGCUGAGACGCGAAAGCCAGGGGAGCGAACGGG